rnacentral:misc_RNA from 1 species
AGAAGAAACUCGUGUCGAUUCCAUCGCGAUACGUACGCGAUGAUCAAGACCGUUCAAUUGCAUCAUCAAUUUAUAAAGAAGUCCCAGUAAUUGAUAUGCAACGAUUGAUCAACUUUAAUGAUCAUGACUCCAUGAAUCUUGAGCUUAACAAGUUGCGCUUAGCAGCUAAAGAUUGGGGUUUCUUUCAGUUGAUUAAUCAUGGAGUUAGUUGUUCAGUAGUGGAGAAGAUGAAAGACGAGACUCAAAAAUUCUUCGAUCUGCCAUUAGAAGAGAAGAAAAAGUUUGAAAAAUCUUCAGGAGAUACAGAUGGAUUUGGACAGCUAUUCGUCGUCUCUGAUGAACAAAAGCUUGACUGGGCUGAUCUCUUUUACUUGAAGACUUCACCCACAUAUUUGCGAAAGCCUGUGUUUUCCAAGCUUUACCUUUCACUUAGAGAGACGAUUGAAGAGUACGCGGAUGAAAUAAAGAAGCUAAGCAUGAGAGUAUUGAAAACGUUGGGUAAAGCUUUGGGGAUUGAUGAAGAUGAAGUGAAGAGUGUUUUCGAAGAAGGAAUGCAAUCGAUGAGAAUGAAUUACUAUCCACCAUGUCCACAACCAGAGAAAGUGAUGGGACUUACUCCUCAUUCAGAUGCAACAGGCCUUACAAUACUUCUUCAAGUUAAUGAAACUCAAGGUCUUCAAAUUAAAAAAGAUGGAAUUUGGAUCCCCAUUGAACCACUCCCUAAUGCCUUCAUAGUCAAUGUUGGAGAUGCUUUUGAGAUUUUCUCAAAUGGAAUAUACAAAAGCAUAGAACAUAGAUCAGUGGUGAGCUCAGAAAAAGAAAGGAUUUCAGUAGCAACAUUUCAGAGUCCAAGAUUGGAUGGUAUAUUAGGUCCAUCAAGUAGCCUUGUUACACCUCAAAAUCCACCAAAAUUCAAAAAAAUUGGAGUCACUCAAUUUUAUAAAGGAUUUUUCACACGUGAACUUGAUGGGAAAUCAUAUGUGGACACCAUGAGAAUCACCAAUGUAGAUGAUCUAAACAAUUAGUUAGAUAUCUCGAUUUGAGUAUAUAUCUGAAUUUUUAUAAUGCUGUAAGAUGUUAUAUUAAGAUGUCAAGACUAAAAAUUUAUGACUCUUUAUAUUUUUGAAUGUGUA